rfam:Pan troglodytes isolate Yerkes chimp pedigree #C0471 (Clint) chromosome 1, whole genome shotgun sequence.
GCCGGGUGUGGUGGCACACACCUGUAGUCCCAGCUACUUGGGAGGCUGAGGCAGGAGAAUCGCUUGAACCCAGGAGGCGGAGGUUGGAGUGCAAUGUGAGCCGAGACCACACAUUGCACUCCAGCCUGGGUGACAAAGCAGGACUCUGUCUCAA